CAUCCAUUGGGAUAUUGUGAAAGAAUCAGGUUCAGAGAUGAAUAACGUUUGAAGCGAUGCAAACGGCUUCUUCGUGAAACGUUUCGCACCCCUUCUUAAUAUGUGGUUUGGGGCUGUGCAGUAUAGGUGUGUCUUUGUAGUAGCUCUGAAAAAAAGAAGAGACGAUAACCGCACUGUAUGGUAUCUGCAACCAACAGUUGUUCCUGAUGGCUUGUUCAAAAAACAGUGCGAGAUCAGUUCAGCAUGUGGCAUCGUUGGUUCUCAAGCUGCCGUGCUUGUGCAACCUGGUAUCUUUGUUGAGACAAGUAGGAACAGUGAAAAGGGUGGGUUGAGGCGAAAAGUUCAUCCGUGUUGCACUAAAAGGAAAUUCAACAUUUUUGUUCUGACCCAGCUCCCAAACAUGACAAGCCCUUUGUAGUAAACAAAACAUCCCCUUUAUUAGGAGCAUCAGCAGCUGUUCUCUCACAGCAGGCUACCAAGUCGCCCAAGUCCUAUGGAAAGUGGCCCUCGCUUCCUUUCCCCCUGAACUGGCCUAACACACCAGGAAUCUCUUCCCAUACUUACAAAGGAAGUCCUGGAAGGUGAAUUUGCUUUCUUCCAGCAGCAGACACACACACGCUGCAGAUUGCAAGAAUUCGGAAAAAUCCCGACAAGGAGCAACUAAAAGCAAGCUGUGGUUAUUGGAGCAAAUCUUUUGAAGGAUUCCAAAGUAUGCAUCUAUGGUUGAUGAUGGAUCUCAAGCUGCCGUGCUGUUGAUCCAUGGUGGAAGAUCCCAGAUGCACAUUUCAGACUAAACAAAUGCCAGCACACCAUAGAGAACUUCAAAGAACAACUAGCACAGACCACACCAGAGCAGGUAGAAAGUCUGAGAAACCCACGGUCAAGACUGCUUCCCCAAGACAAGCUGGAGAAAGGGAAGCCAAACUAAACUGCCGAAUCAAAGAGGAAUGGCUGGUCCAGGCCACCCGCUAUCUAUUGCAGAAGCCAACAUCCUACACUAAGGCUUAAACGACAACCCAGGGGAUGCCAGUCAACUAGAAUUCUUUGCCAGACUUAGAAGGAGCAUUUAUAAAACUACAGGAUUCCUCACAGAGACACCCUCCCCCCCACAAAAAAAAAAAACCAUCAGAAAGAAGAUACGAACAAAACCAACUCUGAGCAGAAGAUUGAGCAGCUCUCAAAAACGGUGCCAAAUUAUCAUCAUCCUUCCAGAAGAUGAACGUUGAAACGAGGGUUACAUGACUACUUCAAAAUAUAUACAAAAAGCAAAAGAAUGAUUAAAAGACAAACUUACAUCUUGGCAAACACCUGUCCGAUAGAAAAAAAACGAAUCAUCUGGAUCAAGGGAACGCUCAGCAACCUCACCAAGAAAUCACCAAAGAAGACCAGUGGCGAAUGAAAAGUAGUGGACCCCUCCUCUUACACUUCUGUGGAUGCCCCAGAGUUUGUUGGCCAGGCAUGCUUUUGUUUGUUCAGUUGUAUCAUUACCAGGAAGCUCAAUCUACAACAUGGCUAAAGGAUUGAUUGAAAGGCUCAGAUACCUCCCAGAGUGAACCAGAUAUUCCCAACAACUGCUCACCACAGUGCCUCCAAAUAAUCAAAGACACACACACACAGGUGAAGACAAAAUCCCUGUCAUUUGAUGUCACAGCUCUUCUUUACAUUGAUGGAUCCAAAAUUAGCCAAUAAUCCAUGACAGUGCUCACCUCAAAAAAUACACCCAAAAUUGAAAUAAUCAGGAAUGUGGAUCGCGUCAAUCUUUUGCCUAACCAGGUACUUUUAGUUCGGAUGACACGUAUAUCAACAGAUCAGAGGAACCCCCUGCAGGAUGUCCACUUUCAGAAGUAAUAGCAGAGACCAUAAUCCAACCCCUGAUAUCGCUAGCACGCCCAUACGUGCAACCCAAAAUAUAGAUUGGGUACGUAGGCGACACCUUUGUCAUGAUUUAAAAGGGCCAGCUGGGGACCAUCCAAGGACCCUCCCAUCAUUUUCAAGGAGUUAAAUUCACCAGGGAAGGGGGAGAAAGCCACACUACCUUUCAUGGAUAUCUUCGUUCCAGAGGCAGGAAUGGCAAAUUAGAAAUACACGUCUGUUGUAAAGCCACUACACUGAUCCAACAACAAACCCAACAACCACAUGGGGUCAUUGCAGCACACCAACUGACCAAAGCCCUCCAAAACAAGUAAACUGAAGGACUUGGCAGCCCCAGAAGAAAAAAUGGGAAUCAUCUACAACAUAUAUUGCAAGGCCCAUAACAGCCACUCCGGAUAAACAGGCAGAAGUCUAGCAGUUCAUGUCCAUAAAUGCCAAUUAGCAGUCUGAAGACUCCUCACCAUCAGUGAACAUCCUGAUGAACACAGAACACCAAGAUUAACAUUAGACCAACCAUCAAGAAGCAAACAAUGCCCCCAGUCAAGGAACAUGACGGACAAGCUGACAGCAGCCUACCAAGGCCCCUCCUACCAACUCUGAUAACGCAAGGCACUCUAGAAUAUAAAAUGAGAACAAGCCCUACGCCAACUGAUGACGUCACCUAGUUUGGUAAUGAGAUAUCUGCCAGAAAACCAUGAAGCUUGGAAAGCAUCAAGGGCUCCACCGUUGAACCCUGAGCUACAGAUAUUCUCUUCCGUCGACAUCUAUGGCUGAUUUGUUAGUAGCCUUUAACAGGAUGAAAAGGCAACAGAGUUUGAUCAACGAUUGGAACCAGAUACAACAGAAUUGUAUCACAAGCACCACCACUCGAACUUGGAGAAAGCAACAACUCUUACUAUUGGUGAUUAUGAUCCUGAAAGUAAUCUUCCUGACUGCUGGACAUGCAACAGUAUAACAAUUUUAAAGAGAAACAUAGGUUGCAAGUAUUGUACAAAACAUGACUUCACAAAAGAGAAAGUCCUGUUAUUCUUCCGGAUAUGUCAGUAGCUCUAAAAACUUGGUCGCCGCUGCUCUUGCGGAGCGGAAAUCCUGCUCCACCCCUUCUUUUGAGUCCCACUUUCACUCUGGGACCCUGUUCCUACAGUCAUAAAAUGGUUGAGAACACAUCACACAGCCAACGAUGCUUGAGUAAAAGUGAAAAAAAGUGCAAGUGAGUUCGCCAAUCAAACAUCGAUUUGGAAAUACCUUAAAGACAAAUAGCACUUUUAUUGUUCUUAUGUCAUUAGGGCAAGGAAGUGAUGUCGACUUGACCAUGCCAUCCAAUCACCUGACAGCCAAGCCACGCCCACAGUCACAUGACAAUCGAGCCACGCCCACUGAGCCACACUCACAGAACCGGUGGGGGGACGUGACAUCAGUCGUGCUGACUCUUCUGAAAAGGUGUCCGUGAAAAGAUUAAUAACUCAAGAGAUUUAAGAUCCACUUGCCGUAACUUGAUGCUUAACCACAUUUUUACUGUUUGCAACAGAGAGCUUUUACCGAAAUACCAAGGAAAUCUCGGUGGGAACCUGCAAAGUUGGAUGAAAGUGGACUUCGAGCCAAAGGUUGCUGGCUCUUGAAGAAUGCCAAGAGGAAGAAGACAUGGAACAGAAUGGUCUCUGCCCAAUAUUGGGGCAUUAAGUAGUAUUUGAAUAAUUGUGGAAUCCACUGAUUAGCCUACAAAACCUUGUUGUGUUUCUUGCAAGCAGCCAUGUUCCUGUGUGUUUCUAAUUGUUAAAACAGAUACUUGUUUGAAUAAUCUAGCUGUUUCCAACUGCAUUUGCUGCUGCUGUUUUGCUGUACUGUGGUUAAUGAUAGCUUACUUAAUAAACCAGACUGGG